ACCUAUCAAAGAAAACCAACAAGAAAAAACCCACGAGCGAGGCAACGCACACCCUCCCUCCGCAAACCCUAGCCGCCGCACGAGGGAAGAGAUGAGGGACAGCACGUUGCGCCCAGACGUCUCCGCCGCCGGCCUCUCUACACUCCGCUCCACAGUCCCCACCUCCUCCGGUCCUCCCGCAUGGCCGCUCCUCCGCGACGACACCAACCGUCCAGAAGCGGAGUCGCCGCCUCGACCCGGGGUCCCCCCGUCCCCGUUGUGCUCGGCGCCACGCCCAUCCCGAGGCACCACCCGCUCGUUGUCGGCUCGCCCGAGCCUGCCAAGAAGUCCGCCGUGCCGCGGAGGGGCUCCUGGGCCGAGAAGCAUAGCGGCGCCGGCUAUGCCGGGGUGAUUGCAUCACCCAAGGUUGUCAGGCCCAUCGCGCUCAACUUCGAGGAGAGGACGCCCGUCAAGGGGCGGCCCUCGCCAGCGCAGAGCUCGGCGUCGAGGAGAGGUCCAUCGCCGCUGAUGAAUAUCGCGAGCGAGCGAGCCAGCGGCCGUGCGUGCAUCGGGACACGCAGCAAGGAGGAUGAUCUACUACCCUACGGAAGGGAAGGAAGAGGCCGCCGGCGAGCGAGGCACGGCCACGGCGUUGGACUCACCGGGGACGUCUGCUCCUCCCGAGGUAACCAACCCCUCCGAUCCUCUUCUUCCCCCAAUUCUAUUUGCAUCUGCGUGCGUACGCAACUUCAGUUCUGUACAUACAUAUUCAGUUCAAACUGAAUCCCAACCCCAACCCGUUGGCUGAAGCUUCAGUUUUGUACAUGCAUAUUCAGUUCAAACUGAACCCCAACCCAACCCAUUGGCUGAAGCAUUUACAUGCCUAUGUAAACCUGGGAAAUGGGAAUGCUCCAAAACCCAAAUUAAAUCAAAUCCAAACUGCAAUAUACCACCCGUCCGUCAAGUAAAAUCCACCAAACCAACCCACUCCAAUCCAUGACCGACAAUACCAACCCAACCAUCUCAAAGUUUUGGUUUUGGACUACUACUACUGAACCCAAUUUCCAAUCUUAACCUACCCAUCAGUCGCACAUUAAGCUCUGUACCUAUGUUCAGUUUGAUCAACCGAUUAGCAAAUCAGUGAGGGCAGGUUCCAAUUUUUACUAGACGGGAAAGCAUGCCACGCUGUAGGUUUGAUCGCUCUACGGUUGGAUGACAAACAUGGAGGAAACCCUGCUGUCGUGCAUGCGCUCCUCUGCGCUUGGUGACCAAUACAUCUGCUCCAUCGUGAACAUUUGCUUCGUGUCAAACAGGUAGCCGCCAAGGGUGAGCUCGUGCAGCGGUUUAGGUAUAGAUGUGCAUCCCAUAAGGGAAGCUACUGUUUCUUUCAUAAAACUAUUUGUUGUUAGUGCAUUGUAUAUUGAAGUAAACUGGAUGGGCUUAUCUUGAGUUCUCCAUCAAGUUAUAUUACUUCGACAGGAAAAAGUGCAGAAAGACCAUAUAAAGUACUCUGGUGAGUCUCUCAAUUGAACUAGAUUUUUUUUAGGUGCGUGAAACAUGCACAAUGAUUUGCUCUGUUGAGUGUAAGUUGAACUAGCACUUGAAUUAUAGCUCAUGCCGGUAUGCUAAUUUUCUCUUUCUCAUAUCAGCUCUCCUUUUUGUCCAUUUUUGUUCACUACUACCUGAAGGAAACUGUACUGGAUAGCAGCAGUAGAAACUGUACUAUGGAAGGGAGGGUGAGCGAUUCUGGGAAAUUCCUUGUGGCCGUGAAAGGCCGGAAUGACAUACUGAUUGUAGUGCAAUGAGCGGGCAUUAUUUAGGCCAAGUGUUUAAUAUUCAAUAUUUUAUCUUUCCACAUCACGCGAAUGAGCUCGCGCAAAGCCGAGUAGCGAAUCCUGAGAGUGAGGUCAAAUGCUGGAUGCAUAUGGGUUUUGUCAACGACAAUGGCCAAAAGGCGGCAAAAGUAGACAAAAACUUCUUCACUAUCAAAUAUAAACUAGAGCAAUAGUCCAGCAGAAAAGGAAGCAGCCAGAGAAGAAGCAACAGUAGGAAAAGAAACAGUCCGAGGUUUAGUGGCGCAUUCUCCAGUGCUCUGCAGCUUCUUCGCCAUUAUUGAUGGGUCAUAUAAAAACUUAUGGAUUUGGAUGAUGCUUCAAAAAUGUCGACUGACAUGACAUAGGCACUGACGUAGAGAUGAUGGGCCGCAAAAGAUUUAUUUAUAUAUAUGUUUAAUUUCCAGUGGAUGGGUAAAUUUAUUCUUGUUAUUACUAUAUUGAAGGUAAUAUUAAGUUAUUCAAUUGCAGAUGUGUCUGGCUAUUUUAUUUCUGAUUUUAUGCCCUUGUGAAAAGGUAAAGAAUUGCUUCCUUUGAUUUGCACGAUGAGUAUUCUCCGUUGCACAUUCUUAGACCUUCCUUGUGAAACAUUCAUGCUAACUACAUAUAUUGCUUCUGUAGGAUGAUUAUUACCAUGGGAAUGAAGCUAAAAAAAUCAUUAUUGAUAUUGUGUGAGAAAAUCUUAAGCGCAUCAAGUAGAAAUCUUAAUUCGUAACAAAGUAUUAGUGCGGUCAUGGUUUUCUAUGUACAUAUCAUCAAAUUAUAUUUUUUUCAUCAACUUACAUUUCAAGUGAAGUGGAUUUCAAUUAUUACCCGAUUUUUACUGGCUAUCUUUUGUAUGUAUGUGAAGUUUAAGAUGCAUUAUGUUAUAUUAUAUAUACAACUUCAGUAGAAGAUUUCAAAUGCCCGUGGCAAUGCACGGCCAUUCUACUAGAUACAGACUCUCUCAAUUGUGUAGAUAGGUCAUCAAGUAACGGUUAGCAGUUCAUGCUUCUACUUCACCUUUUAGUUAAUUAUCCGCUUUUAAGUAUUUGUUGCCGAAGUGAGCAUCAGAUUGCAGGAAUUUUGUAAUUCAUCAGUAGAAUUAUCCGCUUCAUUCGCUUUUGUUAUAACGCACUGGCAUUUUGUAACGUCUUGUCGAAGUGAGCAUUUUAUAGAGAUUAUCCGAUUUUAAGUAUUUUAUUUAAUGUGUCUAUCUCCGGUUGUGAUCCUAGAAGGCAGUAAAUGUGCACUUGUGUUUUGCUAAUGCAACAGAGUAUCUAUGAGAUUAGUAAUUCUCUGUAUAACAUGGAAAUUCUUCACAACUGUAAUUUUGAAUGAAGCUAUUUUCUGAUAUUUGGAUCUUGCCAAAAAUGAACAUGAGUGAUAUAACCCAUAUAACAAAACAGAUGAGAGUUCUCUUUGCAAGUUGCACUGCAAAGAUUGCUUUUUAGUGAAGUUAUCCUUGGCGGUGUACAACUUAGAACUUGAUUGAUACUUUUCAUUUUACAUUGAUGUGCUCUCCAGUGAGAACAUUUUUUUGACUGAACGUGUUUCAUUAGAUAUGCCCUUUUAUUUUGUGGGAAGUUGUUCAGACUUUUAUCUGAUUAUUUAUUUCAGUUGUGUAAAAAUGGAGUAUGAGUAAUGCUUGGUUCCAUGCAAGACGAAGGGAGGAAGACAAGAAAAUUAUAUCAAUUUAGUUCAUGGUCUAGGAGCAAGGAAAGUACACAUCCAUCUUUGUGAUAUUGAUAGGCAUAAUACUACAUACAGACUCUCUCAAUUGUGUAGAUAGGUCAUCAAGUAACGGUUAGCAGUUCAUGCUUCUGCUUCACCUUUUAGUUAAUUAUCCGCUUUUAAGUAUUUGUUGCCGAAGUGAGCAUCAAAUUGCAGGAAUUUUAUAAUUCAUCAGUAGAAUUAUCCGCUUCAUUCGCUUUUGUUAUAACGCACGGGCAUUUUGUAACAUCUUGCCGAAGUGCGCAUUUUGUAGAGAUUAUCCGCUUUUAAGUAUUUUAUUUAAUGUGUCUAUCUCCGGUUGUGAUCCUAGAAGGCAGUAAAUGUGCACUUGUGUUUUGCUAAUGCAACAGAGUAUCUAUGAGAUUAGUAAUUCUCUGUAUAACAUGGAAAUUCUUCAGAACUGUAAUUUUGAAUGAAGCUAUUUUCUGAUAUUUGAAUCUUGCCAAAAAUGAACAUGAGUGAUAUAACCCAUAUAACAAAACAGAUGAUAGUUGCGUUUACAAGUUGCACUGCAAAGAUUGCUUUUUAGUGAAGUUAUCCUUGGCGGUGUUAGAUAAGUAUUAAUGUGACUGUUUACUUGGUUAAGAUUACAUUCACGUUAUUUCUUCUAACCUUCUAAUCUCUAUACAAUGCUAGCUACAGCUUGGGACAACUGCUAGAAGAAUGAACGGUUGAUUCCUCUACAGCAACGCCUGAGGUCAGGUUCUAUGCGAGUGCAGCAGUGCUGGCGGUGUCGGACAUGGUUGUAGCAUGUGCACUUGCCGAGGGUCGAUGAGGCUUUGAUGAUGGCGCUAGCAAAGAAGGCAUGGAGCAAAUGGAGACGGGGUUCCUUUGUGACAACGUAUGGGAGGCUGAUGGGUUCCCUUGGAAGUUGGAACAAUGCGAUGUUGCCAAGACAGCACACUAGGUUCCAAUUCCAGUUGGACGUAUAGUAUUGUUGUUUGCUGACUGCCGGGCCUUCCAUCAGAUGUUGUGCACAGAUAAUUUUGGGGGAAGUCUUACCGUCCCUAUUUCAUAGAAAAAAAUCCAGGUAUGUUAUUUUCUGUAUUUUCAAAAAAAUGACAAUGAUAGGAAGCUUAGAAGUCGUGUGUCAUGCUUUGGAAAUAAAACUUACAACCCCCAUAGUUCAGAAUUGUACUGAACUUUGUGUGUCAUGUAUUUAUAACCGCAUUUGUUUCUCAAGCUUUAGUUAUUAAACUUUUCUCUAAAAUUGCAGAGUUCCAGUUCUGAAUACUAAACUUUGCUUUGCAUGUGUUAAUCUUAAAAAAACACAAAUUUGAGAAAUAUCAAAUGGAAGUUCACAACUAAUAGAAAAGUUUAGCUCUUAAAAGAUGGUAGGGAUUUCAAAAGUUUUAGCUUCAUCUUUUGUUAUUACACCAUAUGUUAUGUCAGUAAAUUGAGUUAUAUGAUGAGCAUGGUCUUAUCUGUUCAGGUUGCUGAGUUUUGGCCUUAAGGUGCAGCAUUGAUAAGGAAAUUAUGCAUCUUUUGAGGUUACUGAUAACCAUCUCAUGUCUAUCAAUAGUGCAUACAUUAUGGUUGAUAAAAAUAUCUUGCCAUGUCAAAUGCAUAAUGUUGUAAUUCCUCCAUUCCAUAAUGUAGUGCACCCGCGCUUUUUGAGAUAAAGUUUGACCAUAAAUUUAACCAGUUAAAUUUAUGGUCAAACUUAAAUCUCGAAAAGCGCUGACGCACUACAUUACGGAAUGGAGGGAGUAUAUGAUAAGUUUGGGUGUAGCUCUGUGUUAGUGCCAGUUGCUUAUUAUGCGCUUAACCUAUUGUAUCUUUUUACCACACAGAUUAAUUAAUUCAACCCGAGGAUAGACAUCCUCACUUCAGUUCAAAAUAAUCCAGAAGAAGUGUGAUUUCUAUUCCAUAUUCAUUGACUUUUCUAAGACCUAUUAGUAAAUUCAUUAGCUUCUUUAAUCCAGUGAUUCUGGGUAAACCGGCGAAGAAUAUGAAUAUUACGUAUGUAUAUUACCCCUUCUUCUAUCAUUUUUAUUAUUUUCAGAAUAUUCAUAAUGAAUGUUUUGAAUGGGUUAUAUAUAACGGCACUGAAUGAGGGUCUAGAGGCUAAAUUAUUGUUCAUCAAUUUCGAAAUUGCCCGGGUUGUAUAAGGAACCAUGCUGGGUAAGUUUACAUCCUAAUACUAUGCAAUAUUAAAUGACCCAUCACCUAAUAAAUACAUCAGAUGUGGUAUUAUAUAUAUAUAUGACUAGAGAGUUAUGUCCCAGACAAAUAGUGAAACAGAAUGCGUGCAUCAUUUAUAUUGGCAAAAAAAUGCAGAGCAUUUCAUUUGGCAUAGAAAAAGUCAACAACAAGUUGGGGAUUCUUCUUACUGAAAAAUAAAAAUAAAAGCAAGUUUGGGAUUCUUCUUUCUGAAAAAUAAAAAUAAAAGCAAGUUGGGGAGAGAGAGGGUCAAAUGGUUUCAUGUGGUUCCAGUAGUCGCCCGGACUGAUGGAAUUAGGGUUUUCGGGUAUAGGCAUCGUAGUGGCGGUGACGUCCACACUAAUCUUUUUGUGAACUUUUGCUGACGAUAAUCUUGGAAAAUCAAUAUUUUUUAGAUUUUUAAAUUUGUAAAUUAUGAUAUAUACAUGGUUGCAAUUCUCGUUAUUUUGAUACCCAUUAUUUGGUCCCACACCUGAAUAGAUGAGCAGGGGGUUGCAUGUAUGGACCUACUAAAUACGAAAUUCUAAAUUGCCUUUGGAAAAUAUGUAUGCCAAAUUUACAAUAUUGGGUGUUCGAAGAACCUCUAUUAUAUUAUAAGGGUGUCAAUUUUUGGUUCCCAUUGGAACGCAUGGGCGCUCUACUAGAAAAUGUGACAAAUUAUGUUUCAUUAGAGAUGGCUUUGCAGCGAAUUGCAUAAACGAGGAGUUCAUAAUUUUUUCAUCAAGUUGUACAAUUUUUUUGUUAGGAUAGAAGGGUAAAUGCAUUGGUUGGUUGUUUUAAGAGUUAAUAACGAACACGGUGGUGUAUCUAUUGCAUGCCCAACGGUUGAUAUUGUAUUUUGUUUCAUGGUAAUGCACGAUAUUCAAUAGUAUGAUACAAUGUGGCAAUGGCUCAGGAGACAUUAGAUCUGCCUUCUUGGCUCGGGGGUGGGGGGUGUCAUGAGCGGCGCAUGCCUUCUCCCCCUUUAUAGCAGUGGCGGAUCGGCACGAGCCCGAGUGGAGGGGAUCAGGGCGGAGAGCGGAGCGGUUGGCAGGGGACCUUUUGGCGGUCCAUGGGGAAGUAUGGUGUGAAAGAGAGAGGGCGCCACACCGAAGGUGAGGUGGGCGUCAUCCGGUUUUAAAGGAGAGGGCUCCAGCAAGAACUAUUUCACUAUGGCAGAAAAGUGGAGGGGGGGGGCAACAGGAAAAGAGAAGGGUGGGUUGUGUGGUGGUUUUUUUGUUGGGCCCCAUGUUGGAGAUUACAUGAAGGAUAGUUAGGACACCCGCAUUUCUCCCCCACAUAUGGGCUGGAUUUGGGGGAGUUUGAACUGAGAACGUUGAAUUUUGGGGAGUCUAUUGGGUGCUCGUUUGAUGUCGAACAUGCUUGGACGUAUGAGGGA